AUGUCUCAGUGCUGCGGUUCUCUUGAGCUCAGAGCAAACAUGGCAUAUCCACCGUCAACAGGGCUGAAAAAUAGAUCUGAUGUGUGGUUGUGGAAGCUCCUAUUGCAGACCUUUGGUCUUGCUGCUGUGUCCACCACUCCAUUCCAUUGCAGUGCAGUCAUGCGGUUCUAAUAGUGCUGGUGGCCAUCUUUGCUGCCAUGCUUUGGAGGUAGAAACAGCUCUGCAGGCACAUACCAUGGGGACACCUGAUGCCGCCCG